rnacentral:misc_RNA from 1 species
AACAUUCAACCUUUUCUCUUGAAUUUAUUUGGGAGUAAAGGCUUGGACUUUGGAGGUUACUGCUGGCCAUAUAUAGAUGGUCAGCUCCUCUUAAAAGAAUUAGUAGGGUCCCUUUUAACCGAUCCUUUGAUGUGAUAAGGAUUCUCCUACAUCUUGAUGGGUUUCGGUUUUUGUAAAGGCCUGCUUAUAAUCUCUUAUUAAUAUAAAGAACCCU